rnacentral:rRNA from 1 species
GACGAACGCUGGCGGCGUGCCUAAUACAUGCAAGUCGAACGCAGUGGGGACGGGUGAGUAACACGUGGGUAACCUCCCAUCAGAGGGGAUAACACUUGGAAACAGGUGCUAAACCGAUACUGAUGGAUGAACCCGCGGUGCAAUAGCUAGUUGGUUAGGUAACGGCUCACCAAGGCCAUGAUGCAUAGCCGACCGGAGCGGGAUAUCUGCAACCCUGGGACGGGGACACCGCCCAGACUCAUCAGUGAGGCAGCAGUAGGGAAUCUUCGGAAAUGGCCGAAAGUCUGACCGAGCAACGCCGCGUGAGUGAAGAAGGUUUUCGGAUCGUAAACCUCUUUUGUUAGAGAAGCGGUAUCUAACCAGAAAGCCACGGCUAACUACGUGCCAGCAGCCGCGGUAAUUC